CCUACGGGAGGCAGCAGUGAGGAAUAUUGGUCAAUGGACGCAAGUCUGAACCAGCCAUGCCGCGUGCAGGAAGACGGCUCUAUGAGUUGUAAACUGCUUUUGUACGAGGGUAAACGCAGAUACGCGUAUCUGUCUGAAAGUAUCGUACGAAUAAGGAUCGGCUAACUCCGUGCCAGCAGCCGCGGUAAUACGGAGGAUUCAAGCGUUAUCCGGAUUUAUUGGGUUUAAAGGGUGCGUAGGCGGUCGGAUAAGUUAGAGGUGAAAUCCCGAGGCUCAACUUCGGAAUUGCCUCUGAUACUGUUCGGCUAGAGAGUAGUUGCGGUAGGCGGAAUGUAUGGUGUAGCGGGGAAAUGCUUAGAGAUCAUACAGAACACCGAGUGCGAAGGCAGCUUACCAAGCUACUUCGGACGUUGAGGCACGAAAGCGUGGGGAGCAAACAGGAUUAGAUACCCGGGUAGUC
rnacentral:rRNA from 1 species